CCUACGGGAGGCAGCAGUCGGGAAUUUUGGGCAAUGGGCGAAAGCCUGACCCAGCAACGCCGCGUGAAGGAUGAAAUCCCUCGGGAUGUAAACUUCGCAAGAACGGGAAGAAUAAGCCGGUGCCAAUAACACCGGCGAUGACGGUACUGUUUGUAAGCUCCGGCUAACUCCGUGCCAGCAGCCGCGGUAAUACGGGGGGAGCAAGCGUUGUUCGGAUUUACUGGGCGUAAAGGGCGCGUAGGCGGCCACCGCAAGUCGACUGUGAAAUCUCCGGGCUUAACUCGGAAAGGUCAGCCGAUACUGCGGGGCUAGAGUGCAGAAGGGGCAACUGGAACUCUCGGUGUAGCGGUGAAAUGCGUAGAUAUCGAGAGGAACACCUGCGGCGAAGGCGGGUUGCUGGGCUGACACUGACGCUGAGGCGCGAAAGCUAGGGGAGCGAACGGGAUUAGAUACCCCGGUAGUCCUAGCCUUAAACGAUGAAUGCUUGGUGUCUGGGGUUUUAUAGUCCCCGGGUGCCGUCGCUAACGCUUUAAGCAUUCCGCCUGGGGAGUACGGUCGCAAGACUGAAACUCAAAGGAAUUGACGG
rnacentral:rRNA from 1 species